UACGUAGGGUGCAAGCGUUAAUCGGAAUUACUGGGCGUAAAGCGUGCGCAGGCGGUUAUGUAAGACAGGUGUGAAAUCCCCGGGCUCAACCCGGAAAUGGCAUUGGAAACUGCGUGGCUAGAGGGUUGGAGGGGGGACUGGAAUACUUGGUGUAGCAGUGAAAUGCGUAGAUAUCAAGUGGAACACCAGUGGCGAAGGCGAGUCCCUGGACAACCACCUGACACUGAGGCACGAAAGCUAGGGGAGCAAACAGG
rnacentral:rRNA from 1 species